GACGAACGCUGGCGGCGUGCUUAACACAUGCAAGUCGAGCGAGGCCCAUCCUUCGGGGUGGUGCCCUAGCGGCGAACGGGUGAGUAACACGUGGGCAAGCUGCCCUCAGCUCUGGGAUAACUCCAAGAAAUUGGUGCUAAUACCAGAUGUGACCGCUGACCGCAUGGUCUGGUGGUGGAAAGAUUCAUCGGCUGAGGAUGGGCCCGCGGCCUAUCAGCUUGUUGGUGGGGUAAUGGCCCACCAAGGCGACGACGGGUAGCCGGCCUGAGAGGGUGACCGGCCACACUGGGACUGAGACACGGCCCAGACUCCUACGGGAGGCAGCAGUGGGGAAUAUUGCGCAAUGGGCGAAAGCCUGACGCAGCGACGCCGCGUGAGGGAUGACGGCCUUCGGGUUGUAAACCUCUUUCAGUAGGGACGAAGCGAAAGUGACGGUACCUACAGAAGAAGCACCGGCCAACUACGUG
rnacentral:rRNA from 1 species